GAAGGUAUAGCUCAGUGGUAGAGUGUGUGCUUAGCAUGCGCAAGGUUGUGGGUUCAAUCUUUUUAGCCUCU
rnacentral:tRNA from 1 species